GAACAACUACGAGUUAGGAUAAUGGAUACCUUAAGCAUACUUUGAUAAAUUGGUGAAGUGCUAGAGAAUUAGAUGCGGUUUGAUAAUUGUCUGUUAAGUAGUUUGAGGUUUAGCUCGACUCAACAGGACAUUCCAGUAGAACAAGAGCCUCUCUCUCUCUCGGGAAGUUGGUGUCAUCUCCAUUGUCCUUCAUCAGAAUGCAUGCUUGCAAGGG
rnacentral:lncRNA from 1 species